rnacentral:misc_RNA from 1 species
CUGCGAGUUCGCGGGAGAGUAGGUUAUUGCCAGGGUUUUUUAUUUUAUACUUCAAAUCUUGAAUUUAUUUUUUAUGUUUUUUAAAUGUUUAUUUUUUUGAAUGUUUGAUUUAAAAAAAUAUAAAAAAUAAAAUAGAUAUUGACAUGGAUUAAACAAAGAUAUAUAUUAUUCUAUGUUGCAUAAACAAAUUGGCAAAGUAGAGAUGGAAGAUAAAAAUAUGGUCAAAGU